UACGAAGGGGGGCUAGCGUUGCUCGGAAUCACUGGGCGUAAAGCGCACGUAGGCGGCUUCUUAAGUCAGGGGUGAAAUCCUGGAGCUCAACUCCAGAACUGCCUUUGAUACUGAGGAGCUUGAGUCCGGGAGAGGUGAGUGGAACUGCGAGUGUAGAGGUGAAAUGCGUAGAUAUUAGGAAGAACACCAGUGGCGAAGGCGGCUCACUGGCCCGGUACUGACGCUCAUGUGCGAAAGCGUGGGGAGCAAACAGG
rnacentral:rRNA from 1 species